rnacentral:rRNA from 1 species
UACGGGGGGAGCAAGCGUUGUUCGGAUUUAUUGGGUUUAAAGGGUGCGUAGGCGGUCUUUUAAGUCAAUUGUGAAAUCUCCGAGCUUAACUCGGAAAGGUCAACUGAAACUGUGCGACUAGAGUGCGGAAGGGCAACUGGAAUUCUUGGUGUAGCGGUGAAAUGCGUAGAUAUCGGGAGGAACACCGGUGGCGAAGGCGGGUCUCUGGGCAAUUCCUGACGCUGAGGCGCGAAAGCGUGGGGAGCAAACGGG